GGUUAGUACCGUCACGUAUGAACAGUUACUCUCAUACGUGUUCUUCCUUAACAACAGAGCUUUACAACCCGAAAGCCUUCUUCACUCACGCGGCGUUGCUGCAUCAGGCUUGCGCCCAUUGUGGAAGAUUCCCCACUGCUGCCUCCCGUAGGAGUAAGGCAAUGUGCCAAAAUGGGCACAGUCCCUACGGAUCAACUCCUCGAAAAAAAUUGGGUUUUCCGCACACAGCUCGCUUCUACAGAUUUAGCAGAAGUUGCCCUUCCCGUCUAACUUAGCUUAUCUGUAAAAGAGCUGGUCUCUCCCCGUUUUCCGGCCUAUAAAUUUCGGUUAUUAUGGCCCCCCCCAGUUUUACCUCUCCCCCCCACCAUCACGUUCAACACCUGCUUGAACAGGUCCUAUAUCCUUGCUGGCGGUGUGUAAAAA
rnacentral:rRNA from 1 species